GACGAACGCUGGCGGCGUGCUUAACACAUGCAAGUCGAACGGUGAAGCGCCUUCCUUUUUGGUGGGUGUGGAUGAGUGGCGAACGGGUGAGUAACACGUGAGUAACCUGCCCCCUUCUUCUGGAUAACCGCAUGAAAGUGUGGCUAAUACGGGAUAUUCUGGGUCUGUCGCAUGAUGGGUCUGGGAAAGAUAUUGUUUCGGUGGGGGAUGGGCUCGCGGCCUAUCAGCUUGUUGGUGGGGUGAUGGCCUACCAAGGCGGUGACGGGUAGCCGGCCUGAGAGGGUGGACGGUCACACUGGGACUGAGACACGGCCCAGACUCCUACGGUGUGCAGCAGUGGGGAAUAUUGCACAAUGGGCGCAAGCCUGAUGCAGCGACGCCGCGUGAGGGAUGGAGGCCUUCGGGUUGUGAACCUCUUUCGCCAGUGAAGCAGGCCUGCCUCGUUUGUGGGUGGGUUGACGGUAGCUGGAUAAGAAGCGCCGGCUAACUACGUG
rnacentral:rRNA from 1 species